GAGGGGGGAGAGAGAUUUUCUUGUCUAGAAGGAAAGCUUACAAUUUUGAAAACUUCAUAAAUUGUUUUUUGCUAAGACGUCUCUGUUCCAUCCCAAAUAGCUUUGAAAUAUCCAUUACUAUAUCCAAAUGAUAAAGUAGUCCUUUCCUUUUUUAAACUCGGACUUGGAAAAGGUGUCCAUAGCUCUGCCUUGAAGUUCUUUAGAAAGAACUACUAUAAUAGUUUCAAGUAUUAAAAAUAUUUUGAACAAAUACAUUUCAAAUUUUUAACAUAAAUUCAGCAAACCACAAGAUUCACUGGGUCCGGAUUAAUUGGCGAAUUUUCUGUUAGUUUCCUCUCUUUUCUCUGCAAGUUCCUCACAGCCCGUGAAGCUCGAUGCCAGUGUGUUCUCUUUCUCCCCAAACUUCCUAGCAUUGCGAAUGACGCACUUUCACUGUUUGAAAAUGUUUGGAAGUUUGCCAGUCAGAAAGACAGAAGAGUGUCAUAAAACAAAGGAUUGAGAGUAUUUUUCAGUCUCUGACUUCCUUGGGGAAAACAAAAAAAAAGUCAUCUCCACUAAAUCCAAAAGUACAUGACAAUUCACACCAGCUCCUGGUGCUGCCUCCUUAGCCUCUGAUGUGAGUCGGUGACAUUUCCCGCCCAUGUGUGCCCAGCCCUGCCAUGCCCCCGGUACUGAGAGCUGCCGUGAAGGAAGUAGGAACAAGACAAGCCCUGGCUCUCCCGGACCUUACAUUCCAGUGGGGGUGACGUCAACAGACAAACCAACCAAUAACAUAGUUACAGAUUUGUAUUGGUGUUCUGAAGGAAAUAAGCAAGAGCUCCCCCUGAAAACACUGGCAGAAUCUAGGUGGUCAGGGAAGGUUCCCCUGAGAAAAUGGCUUGAAGGUGUUCUCUGGGGAAUGCACCUGAGUCCAAACUUCUUUUUAUCAGGACACCAGUCAUUGGAUUCGGGGCCCACCCUACUCCAGGAUGAUCUCAUCUUCAAUUACAACGGCAAGGACCUGUUUCCACAUAAGGUCGCAUUCUGAGUACUGAAGGUUAUGACUUCCACAAAUGAAUGGAGUGGCGGACACAAUUCAACACGUAACAGACAACUGGAGAUAAGAAAGAAAACACAACCAACCAUGAGUGGAAAGGCGUUCAGACUGAAGGAGAGAAAGAAAUACGGAUACCAAGCGACAGAGGUGGUUGUACGCCUUGAUAGAGUGGAACCAGCCACAUGAGAGGUACCCACAUAUAAGGUCAUCAUCAACGUGCUCAAUUGUCUCCCGUUUUUCUUUGUUUCUCUUUCCCAUCUUUGAUAAGAACUUCUCAUCUUUGCAGUGAUGCAGAACCAACAGAAUCAUGACCUCUUGUUUCCAUGUAUACAGUUGAGGUCAUGCUUUUAUGACACCUUUGGGCAAAACUUUUUCCCUCAUUGAGAAACUGGAGAAACAUUACCGCAAUCCCGUCAUCUUUCACAAGACUUAUCCGUGUGUUCCCACAUACAAACUGUUCCUUUUGUUGGUAUUUUUGCUUAUGAUGAACUUAAGAUAAAUAGGAUAGUAUUUGUACCGCAUUGAGGGUAAAAAGAAAAUGGUUUUUUUUAAUUUUUUUUUUUUAAUGUUUAUUUAUUUUUGAGACAGAGAGAGACAGAGCAUGAACGGGGGAGGGUCAGAGAGAGGGAGACACAGGCUCUGAAACAGGCUUCAGGCUCUGAGCCGUCAGCACAGAGCCCAACGCGGGGCUCGAACUCACGGACCGCGAGAUCAUGACCUGAGCCGAAGUCGGCCGCUUAACCGACUGAGCCACCCAGGCACCCCAAAAUGUUUUUUUUUUAAUGUUUAUUUUUGUGAGAGAGAGAGACAGAGUGUGAGGAGGGGAAGGGCAGAGAGAGAGGGAGACACAGAAUGCGCAGCAGGCUCCUGGCUCUGAGCUGUCAGCACAGAGCCAGAUGGCAAGAUCGUGACCUGAGCCGGAGUCAGAAGCUUACCUGACUGAGCCACCCAGCUCCCUAAUGUUUUACAUGCACAGUAUAACCACCCCAAAGAUAUCUUUAUUAAAUAAGACCAAACAGAACCACAUCGAAACAUUAACAGUGGUUGUCUUUGAGUGAUGGAACUAUGGCUAAUUUUUUUCCUGUGGAAAAAUUAACAUUUUUAAGAAUAGAUUUUAUUUUUAUUAAAGUAAAAUUUUAAAUAAUAUUUAAUAGGCAAUUUCAGAGAAUUAUUUCUUGAUAUAUGAUCUUUAUGCAAAUAACUUGUAAGUUUUAGCUAGCAUAGUACUUCAAAAAAGAAAGCACUGAUUAAUAGACCUUGUAUUUUACACUACAGUCUUUUAAGAAUUUUUAAACUAUGUCUCUUUAAGUUACACGGAAGAUGAUUCUUCCUACAAAUGUUAUGCAGUUUCUCCUAAUCUUUUAUUUUAUCAAAACAUUCAUUUUUAAAAACACAUCCGUGUGGCCAACAGGCACAUGAAAAGAUGCUCAACGUCGCUCUUCAUCAGGGAAAUACAAAUCAAAACCACACUCAGAUAUCACCUCACGCCAGUCAGAGUGGCCAAAAUGAACAAAUCAGGAGACUAUAGAUGCUGGAGAGAAUGUGGAGAAACGGGAACCCUCUCGCACUGUUGGUGGGAAUGCAAACUGGGGCAGCCACUCUGGAAAACAGUGUGGAGGUUCCUCAAAAAAUUAAAAAUAGACCUACCCUAUGACCCAGCAAUAGCACUGUUAGGAAUUUACCCAAGGGAUACAGGAGUACUGAUGCAUAGGGGCACUUGUACCCCAAUGUUUAUAGCAGCACUCUCAACAAGAGCCAAACUAUGGGAAGAGGCUAAAUGUCCAUCAACUGAUGAAUGGAUAAAGAAAUUGUGGUUUAUAUACACAAUGGAAUACUACUUGGCAAUGAGAAAGAAUGAAAUCUGGCCUUUUGUAGCAACGUGGAGGGAACUAGAGAGUGUUAUGCUAAGUGAAAUAAGUCAUACAGAAAAAGACAGAUACCAUAUGUUUUCACUCUUAUGUAGAUCCUGAGAAACUUACCAGAAGACCAUGGGGGAGGGGAAAAAAAAAGGUUAGAGAGGGAGGGAGCCAAAAAAUAAGAGACUCUUAAAAACCGAGAACAAACUGAGGGUUAAUGGGUCGUGGGAGGGAGGGGAGGGUGGGUGAUGGGUAUUGAGGAGGGCAUCUGUUGGGAUGAGCCCUGGGUAUUGCAUGGAAACCAGUUUGACAAUAAAUUUCAUGUUUAAAAAAAAAGAAAUCUAAAAACACAUCUGUGUUUUUAUCUUAGUUCAAACAUUGACUCUCCGAAUGAACAUGUAACAACAAACUUAUAAAUCACUGUGUGUCCAGAUCAAUAGCUAUUCACAAGUAAUGCAUCUCAUGAUCAUUAAUAUUUAAAUAAACUUUGGCUUUGAUUCACAUUAUGUUUUAAAUAUGCUAUUUGAGGAAGAAAACGGAUUAAGAGAAAUCUGUAACAACUAAAGUAUCUUUUCUAAAAGUUUUUAUUUCACUUAUAUGCAGAUUUCAGUUAGUAUAUUGUUAGCAAUCAAAUUCAAAUUCUUAGAUCUCAAAUAUGAAUGGGGACUCUAAGAAAAACAUCCAACUUUUAUGUUAAAUUUGUUCUUUUUGCAUUUCGUCUUUCUGGCACUUUCGUAUUUAGUCAUCCUCUUUCCUAUUCUGCUUGCUCAGUUUCCACAUACAACCAGAUCAGCAGAAGGGGAGAGAAAACAUCUCAUUUGAGGGCAGUGAAGGAAAGAAUCGCUGUUCCUUUUUCUUUCCCUCCCCCUGCCCACCACACACACACACACACACACACACACACACAGUAGAGAAGGGUUCUCUGCAUACAGAUGCUCAUUUGGAAUUCAGAAAUAUUUUACCACAGAAAAAAUAAGAAACUAUAACAAUGUAAGUAUCUUGUUUACCUUCAUUCUGGGUUAAAAUAAGAUUUUGUGGGCUGGCCUGGGAAUCCAGUCUUGUAACAUUAUACACACGGGAAAUUUUCGUUCUGAAAUCUAAAUAGCUGUUUUCCAAGGAAAUUGUUAGAGCACACUGUACUCGGUAGGUCUAGGACCACCUGCCCUCUGCAGGGCUGCGCUCUGCAAUUUGGAAGAGACCAGGAGGAAAGAGGCGUGGUUCCUGAUCUCAAGGCCUGUGCUGGCUACACUGGGAGACUGGGCCCACAAUGAAAUGAUUAUUUCAAGACAGAAAUGCUAUGUGGCUCUGCUCCCAGGUAACAUUUUAAUACAUUUAUUUACCUAUUUGUUCAGCAAACAGGUUCAGCGUGCCUCUUGACUCUAAUUAUCUCUCUCGUUUUUAUAUUUUACAUGCUGUUUUCUAAUGUAAGUAUUACAUGAGUAUAGUAGAAUAUUUGAGCAAUGCAGACCUAUUUGUGGUGACAAAACUGGAAAGGGCUUGACUCUCUAUCGGUAACUAAAUGAUUGAAUAGACCAUAGUUGAUCCAUUCUAUGGGAUGUUAUGCACAAAUAAAAAAAGGACACAUUAAAACUUUCUGGAGACUGGGAUGUGUUUUAAAGAAUGAAAACCAGGAUGCAAAGCAGUGUUCCUAUUAGGAUCUUAGUUUUGCAAAGACAACAGUGACCCCCUCGUCCCCCCCAAAAAAUGUUUGAAUUCAAAAGGAUAAAGGUAUAUAUACAAAGCUGUUGAUACUGGUCACCUUGAGGACAAGAGGGUUACUAAUUUUUUCUUAAUCUUUGUAUGGAGAAAAAAAUGGUAAUUUUAAAAUGAAAAUCUGGAAACACAGAGCAGUUUAAAGAGAAAAAUUAAAAUCACUUUGAUUUCGGA